rnacentral:rRNA from 1 species
CAGCAGCCGCGGUAAUACAGAGGGUGCAAGCGUUAAUCGGAAUUACUGGGCGUAAAGCGCGCGUAGGUGGUUUGUUAAGUUGGAUGUGAAAUCCCCGGGCUCAACCUGGGAACUGCAUCCAAAACUGGCAAGCUAGAGUAUGGUAGAGGGUGGUGGAAUUUCCUGUGUAGCGGUGAAAUGCGUAGAUAUAGGAAGGAACACCAGUGGCGAAGGCGACCACCUGGACUGAUACUGACACUGAGGUGCGAAAGCGUGGGGAGCAAACAGGAUUAGAGACCCCUGUAGUCCCUGUCUCUUAUAC